rnacentral:pre_miRNA from 1 species
UGUGUACUCCCUCCAUUCCAAAAUACUUGACUUCGAUUUGUCCAAAAAUGGAUGUACCUAUAUACUAAAACAUGUCUAGAUACAUAUAUAUUUUGACAAAUAGAAGGCAUGUAUUGUGCAACGGAGGGAGUAGAAU